AAGGGGAAAGCCCAGAAAGAAAAGAAAAUAUUGAUAUUUAGGUUGAUCUACUUGGCCAGCCUGGUUACAGUAAAAGAAGAAUCAGCCAAAGGAAGUGAUUUAAGAUCCUCUGCAGGUAUAUGAGCAGCACUGCUUCUUUAACAAAAGUCUAGAC
rnacentral:lncRNA from 1 species